rnacentral:lncRNA from 1 species
AAUUAAAAUACAUUAAUUCAACCAUUCAAGGAACAAAUCAAACAAAGUAAAGCUAACCAAGAUUAAAAUCACAGCAGGUUCACAAUCACAGAUUAAUAAGCGAGGUGAAAAGAGAUGAACCUGAAAAAUAAUCUUGCAGUUAAUACAAUAUUAACAGUCCACGGACAGAAUAUGCAACUACGAGUGGAAUUCAAAAUAGCAAAUCUAGCUCGAACGAAACUAACGGACUGCACCCCGGAUGAAAACUCCAAUAAUUGAACACUAAUUUUAACUCCGCUUCAUUUCGGAAGCCAGGACCAAAAGAACAACCGAAAUUUUCAUUAUGUAUUUUGAGUUUGAAAUAAAAAAUGAUACUAAAAUCAACUGAAAAUCAAAAAUAAAAUCAGAAUCAAACUGUUCUGUCUGAUUUUUUUUUUCUUUUUAAUUCUUGUGUGUUGUGUGGUCAGUACUGAUGACAACCACUGAUUUGCCAGAUUCCAGCGUCUGUCAAGGAGAUGAUGGGAUGGUCGCAACUUUUCAGGUCUUAGGAGAUCCAUCGGAGGUGGGGCUGUGAGGGAGGGCGACGGACUGGUGAGGGAGAUGGAGUGAGAGUCGACUGUUUUCGAAGUCCAGAGGUGGUUUGGUUGGUUUCUAGCUGGGGUGAGGCGUGAGCGAAGCGGUGGCGGCGCUAGUUUGGUGGAGUGACAGCUCGAACUGGUUUAGGAGAAGGCGGAGUUAGUAUUCUUGGUUGUACAGAAGUAAGGGUCGUUGGUCGCCGAUGGGCUGGUUGCUGUUGAAUGGGGUCGCCGGGGGAUAAAGAGGAAAGCUGGCAGCGGUUUUGGGAUGGUCCGGAGGCCACUGCUGUUGUUGUUUUUUAUCUUUUGGGUUUUUUGUUAUUGUGUGUACGAAGAAAGUAGGGGUGGCUCCGGUGGACGAGAAGAUGCGGGAAGCGAGGUUGAGGUGGUUCGGGCAUGUUCGGAGGAGGGGCCCCGAUGCCCCGGUGAGGAGCUGCGAGCGGCUGGAGAUUGUUGGUGGUCGGCGAGGGAGAGGGAGGCNNNN